rnacentral:rRNA from 1 species
GACGAAGGAUGCAAGCGUUAUCCGGAUUCAUUGGGUUUAAAGGGUGCGUAGGCGGCUGUGUAAGUCAGGAGUGAAAGUUUGCGGCUCCACCGUAAAAUUGCUUUUGAUACUGCAUGGCUAGAAUCAGGAUGAGGUUAGCGGAAUGUGGCAUGUAGCGGUGAAAUGCAUAGAUAUGCCAUAGAACACCAAUUGCGAAGGCAGCUGGCUAGACCUGUAUUGACGCUGAGGCACGAAAGCGUGGGGAGCGAACAGG